CAAAUUGCUGAACAUGAAUUUGCAGGUUUUGUUUUGGGCUAAUGUAUCUGUUUUUUCCUAGUUUCCAACCUCACCAAGAAGAGCAGAGGGCUGGCAAACACUGGCUUAAUUAUCCCCAUCAGUCUCAGAGACAAGGCGCUUAAGAGUUCUAGCUGCUGUAAACACUCCCCUGAUAGCAGAUAAGGAAUCUGCUGAAAGGCAGUUUUGUCUGGGAAACCUCAGGGGCACACCAGUUAAUCAUUAGUGCAAUAUUGUAUAUGCAUUACUACAUCAAAGGAAACAGAACCCAAUAUUCUAUUGUGAAGAUUGUCUGUGUUUUCUUAAAGAAUAAAGGUGUCCUAAAGGUUAUGAGAGUACUGUUAAUACAUUCCAGACCCAGUGGCUACAAACUCUUAAUAAGCACAGAAGCUGCUUUUCCUUCCUCCAAGCGAAACAUCAUAAAAAUUACCAUAAGAAAGCCUGAAAAAUUCAACUCUGGUCAAUCAGCACUCUAUGGGAUAAAAGAAUUCACUCACUCACUCAUUUCUUUAUACAAUACUUUAGCAAAUAUGGAACACUGUGUAUUUGCUAAGCACUCUCCCAGGCACUGGAAAUAUAACAAGGAAGAUAAAGUUUAAGAAUUUCUUCAAAGUUUUCAUCAUAA
rnacentral:lncRNA from 10 species